rnacentral:rRNA from 1 species
UAGCAAUAGUAACGUAGCGGACGGGUGCGUAACGCGUAUGGAACCUACCUAUAAGAGGAGGAUAUACUAUGGAAACGUAGGGUAAUACUCCAUAAUUUUAUUUAUUUGCAUGAAUAGAUAAAAAAAGGCUUUGAGUCGCUUAUAGAUGGUCAUGCGUCCCAUUAGCUAGUUGGUAGAGGUAACGGCCUACCAAGGCGACGAUGGGUAACUGGUCUGAGAGGAUGAUCAGUCACACUGGAACUGAGACACGGUCCAGACUCCUACGGGAGGCAGCAGUAGGGAAUAUUGGGCAAUGGGCGCAAGCCUGACCCAGCCAUUCCGCGUGCAGGAAGAAGGUUCUCUGAAUUUGUAAACUGCUUUUAGUAUCUGAGUAAGUAUUUAUAUGGGCUAUAGAUAUUGAAAGUAAGAUAAGAAUAAGCACCGGCUAACUACGUGCCAGCAGCCGCGGUAAUACGUAGGGUGCAAGCGUUGUCCGGAAUUACUGGGGUUUAAAGGGUGCGUAGGCGGGUCAAUAAGUGUAAUGUUAAAAAGUAUCAGCUUAACUGAUAGCAGGCGUUACAUACUGUUGGUCUAGAAUGUUUGUGAGGCUACUGGAGCGACUGGAGUAGAGGUGAAAUUCGUAGAUAUCAGUCAGAACACCGAUUGCGUACGCAGGUAGCUAACAAAAGAUUGACGCUGAGCACGAAGCGGUGGGGAUCAAACAGGAUUAGAUACCCUGGUAGUCCACGCUGUAAACGUUGUUUACUAGA